rnacentral:rRNA from 1 species
GAUGAACGCUGGCGGCGUGCCUAAUACAUGCAAGUCGAGCGAACAGACGAGGAGCUUGCUCCUCUGGCGUUAGCGGCGGACGGGUGAGUAACACGUGGAUAACCUACCUAUAAGACUGGGAUAACUUCGGGAAACCGGAGCUAAUACCGGAUAAUAUAUUGAACCGCAUGGUUCAAUAGUGAAAGACGGUUUUGCUGUCACUUAUAGAUGGAUCCGCGCCGCAUUAGCUAGUUGGUAAGGUAACGGCUUACCAAGGCAACGAUGCGUAGCCGACCUGAGAGGGUGAUCGGCCACACUGGAACUGAGACACGGUCCAGACUCCUACGGGAGGCAGCAGUAGGGAAUCUUCCGCAAUGGGCGAAAGCUUGACGGAGCAACGCCGCGUGAGUGGUGAAGGUCUUCGGAUCGUAAAACUCUGUUAUUAGGGAAGAACAAAUGUGUAAGUAACUAUGCACGUCUUGACGGUACCUAAUCAGAAAGCCACGGCUAACUACGUG